GGAAGUAAAAGUCGUAACAAGGUCUCCGUUGGUGAACCAGCGGAGGGAUCAUUACAGAGUAUCUACUCUCCAACCCGUGUGAACGUACUGAGGUUGCCUCGGCGCUCCGGCAGAGCCGCCGCGCCGAAGGAAUCCAAACUCUUGUUUAACAUGUAUUCUGAAAAACUAGCAAAUAGUUAAAACUUUCAACAACGGAUCUCUUGGUUCUGGCAUCGAUGAAGAACGCAGCGAAAUGCGAUAAGUAAUGUGAAUUGCAGAAUUCAGUGAAUCAUCGAAUCUUUGAACGCACAUUGCGCCCCCCAGUAUUCUGGGGGGCAUGCCUGUUCGAGCGUCAUUUCGACCCUCAAGCCCUGCUUGGUGUUGGGAGAGCGCGGUAGCGCCUCCUCAAAUGUAGUGGCGGGGUCGGGUAGCACUCUGAGCGUAGUAAAUCACCUCGCUUCUGAAGGCGCCCGGCCUCCCGCCGUAAAACACUUACACAAUGGUUUGACCUCGGAUCAGGUAGGAAUACCCGCUGAACUUAAGCAUAUCAAUAAGCGGAGG
rnacentral:rRNA from 1 species